rnacentral:misc_RNA from 1 species
AACCUAGCACACCUGCGGUGUGUACCUGCGGAGGGAUCAUUACCGAGUUUACAACUCCCAAACCCAAUGUGAACCAUACCAAACUGUUGCCUCGGCGGGGUCACGCCCCGGGUGCGUCGCAGCCCCGGAACCAGGCGCCCGCCGGAGGGACCAACCAAACUCUUUACUGUAGUCCCCUCGCGGACGUUAUUUCUUACAGCUCUGAGCAAAAAUUCAAAAUGAAUCAAAACUUUUAACAAC